CCUACGGGAGGCUGCAGUGAGGAAUAUUGGUCAAUGGACGCAAGUCUGAACCAGCCAUGCCGCGUGCAGGAUGACGGCCCUAUGAGUUGUAAACUUCUUUUGUACGAGAGUAAACCCCGAUACGUGUAUCGGGUUGAAAGUAUCGUACGAAUAAGGAUCGGCUAACUCCGUGCCAGCAGCCGCGGUAAUACGGAGGAUCCGAGCGUUAUCCGGAUUUAUUGGGUUUAAAGGGUGCGUAGGCGGUUUGAUAAGUUAGAGGUGAAAUUUCGGGGCUCAACCCCGAAACUGCAUCUGAUACUGUUGGACUUGAGAAUAGUUGAGGUAGGCGGAAUGUAUGGUGUAGCGGUGAAAUGCUUAGAGAUCACACAGAACACCGAUUGCGAAGGCAGCUUACCAAACUACAUCUGACGUUGAUGCACGAAAGUGUGGGUAGCAAACAGGAUUAGAUACCCCAGUAGUC
rnacentral:rRNA from 1 species